rnacentral:rRNA from 1 species
GUGUCAGCCGCCGCGGUAAAACGUAGGAGGCGAGCGUUAUCCGGAUUUACUGGGCGUAAAGCGCGCGCAGGCGGCUUCGUGAGUCGGACGUGAAAGCUCCUGGCUUAACUGGGAGAGGUCGUUCGAUACUGCGAGGCUUGAGGUUGGGAGAGGGGUGCGGAAUUCCCGGUGUAGUGGUGGAAUGCGUAGAUAUCGGGAGGAACACCAGUGGCGAAGGCGGCACCCUGGCCCACACCUGACGCUGAGGUGCGAAAGCGUGGGUAGCAAACAGGAUUAGAAACCCCCGUAGUCC